AUGUCCAACAUUUUCAUCACCAUGCUGCUCAUAUGAUUCCACCAUUUUUCAAUGUUGAAAAUCACUAUCUUCUUGUUCUGAAUCUCGUAUAAAAUUAUGUAACGCCAUUGUUGAGGUUUCAAUCUUAACCCACUUCUUCAAC
rnacentral:sRNA from 1 species